rnacentral:rRNA from 1 species
CUACGGGACGCUCCAGUGGGGAAUAUUGGACAAUGGACCAAAAGUCUGAUCCAGCAAUUCUGUGUGCACGAUGACGGUUUUCGGAUUGUAAAGUGCUUUCAACAGGGAAGAAGUUCUGACGGUACCUGUAGAAGAAGCGACGGCUAAAUACGUGCCAGCAGCCGCUGGUAAUACGUAUGUCGCAAGCGUUAUCCGGAUUUAUUGGGCAUAAAGGGCAUCUAGGCGGCUUAGUAAGUCUGAUGUGAAAAUGCGGGGCUCAACUCCGUAUUGCGUUGGAAACUACUAAGCUAGAGUAUUGGAGAGGUAGGCGGAACUACAUGUGUAGAGGUGAAAUUCGUAGAUAUAUGUAGGAAUGCCGAUGACGAAGGUAGCUUACUGGACAAUUACUGACGCUGAAGUGCGAAAGCUAGGGGAGCAAACAGGAUUAGAUACCCGAGUAGUC